rnacentral:rRNA from 1 species
CCUCGAUGUGAGCUCUUCACAACCUAGGACUGUAGUAUGUUCCAAGGGUUGGGCUGUUUGCCCAUUAAAGCGAUACGUGAGUUGGGUUCAGAACGUCGUGAGAUAGUUC